AUACGUAGGGGGCGAGCGUUGUCCGGAAUGACUGGGCGUAAAGGGCGUGUAGGCGGCGGUGUAAGUCUGGAGUGAAAGUCCCGCAUUCAAUGUGGGAAUUGCUUUGGAUACUGCAGUGCUAGAGUGCGGAAGAGGUAAGUGGAAUUCCCAGUGUAGCGGUGAAAUGCGUAGAGAUUGGGAGGAACACCAGUGGCGAAGGCGACUUACUGGGCCGUAACUGACGCUGAGGCGCGAAAGUGUGGGGAGCAAACAGGAUUAGAUACCCUGGUAGUCCACACUGUAAACGAUGAAUGCUAGGUGUAGGGGGUAUCGACCCCUUCUGUGCCGCAGUCAACACAGUAAGCAUUCCGCCUGGGGAGUACGGCCGCAAGGUUGAAACUCAAAGGAAUUGGCGGGG
rnacentral:rRNA from 1 species